GUGCCAGCAGCCGCGGUAAUACGUAGGGGGCAAGCGUUAUCCGGAAUUACUGGGUGUAAAGGGUGCGUAGGCGGUAAUGUAAGUCAGGUGUGAAAGCCCGAAGCUCAACUUCGGGAUUGCACUUGAAACUACAUAACUAGAGUACAGGAGAGGUGAGUGGAAUUCCUAGUGUAGCGGUGAAAUGCGUAGAUAUUAGGAGGAACACCAGUGGCGAAGGCGACUCACUGGACUGUAACUGACGCUGAGGCACGAAAGCGUGGGGAGCGAACAGGAUUAGAUACCCUGGUAGUCCACGCUGUAG
rnacentral:rRNA from 1 species